CGGAUCGUAAAACUCUGUUGUUAGGGAAGAACAAGUACCAUUCGAAUAGGGCGGUACCUUGACGGUMCCUAACMARAAASCCACGGCUAACUACKUGCCASCASCCSCGGUAAUACKUAGGUGGCAASCGUUGUCCGGAAUUAUUGGGCGUAAAGGGCUCGCAGGCGGCUUCUUAAGUCUGAUGUGAAAGCCCCCGGCUCAACCGGGGAGGGUCAUUGGAAACUGGAGAACUUGAGUGCAGAAGAGGAGAGUGGAAUUCCACGUGUAGCGGUGAAAUGCGUAGAGAUGUGGAGGAACACCAGUGGCGAAGGCGACUCUCUGGUCUGUAACUGACGCUGAGGAGCGAAAGCGUGGGGAGCGAACAGGAUUAGAUACCCUGGUAGUCCACGCCGUAA
rnacentral:rRNA from 1 species